rnacentral:tRNA from 2 species
UCCUCCGUAGCUCAAUUGGCAGAGCGUUCGGCUGUUAACCGAAGGGUUCCUGGUUCGAGUCCAGGCGGGGGAG